rnacentral:rRNA from 1 species
UAGGGAAUCUUCCACAAUGGACGCAAGUCUGAUGGAGCAACGCCGCGUGAGUGAAGAAGGUUUUCGGAUCGUAAAGCUCUGUUGUUGGUGAAGAAGGAUAGAGGUAGUAACUGGCCUUUAUUUGACGGUAAUCUACCAGAAAGUCACGGCUAACUACGUGCCAGCAGCCGCGGUAAUACGUAGGUGGCAAGCGUUGUCCGGAUUUAUUGGGCGUAAAGCGAGCGCAGGCGGAAGAAUAAGUCUGAUGUGAAAGCCCUCGGCUUAACCGAGGAACUGCAUCGGAAACUGUUUUUCUUGAGUGCAGAAGAGGAGAGUGGAAUUCCAUGUGUAGCGGUGGAAUGCGUAGAUAUAUGGAAGAACACCAGUGGCGAAGGCGACUCUCUGGUCUGCAACUGACGCUGAGGCUCGAAAGCAUGGGUAGCGAACAGG